UUGACCUCAAAUCAGGUAGGACUACCCGCUGAACUUAAGCAUAUCAAUAAGCGGAGGAAAAGAAACUAACAAGGAUUCCCCUAGUAACUGCGAGUGAAGAGGGAAGAGCUCAAAUUUGAAAUCUGGCAGUGUUUUGCUGUCCGAGUUGUAAUCUAGAGAAGUGCUGCCCGUGCUGGACCAUGUACAAGUCUCCUGGAAUGGAGCGUCACAGA
rnacentral:rRNA from 1 species